UGGCUCAGUGGUACAGCGCUUGCCUAGCAUGCAAGAGACCCUGGGUUCGAUCCUCAG
rnacentral:tRNA from 1 species